rnacentral:misc_RNA from 1 species
GCACGAACUUAAUAUAGUUUGGUCACUGUGAAACCAAGCUGCAGUUCUGACUGAACCAGGUGAUUUGUCAACUUCCCUUGGCGGUGCUUGUGGGUGGUUCAAAUCAUAUAUGCGCAGAAUCUUUUCCAUACCUCCAGUUAACAACAGAUGGGAAUCCUCAGAGAAGGCACAUGUUCGGACAAUGUGCUUGUGUUCAAAUGAAUGCAACUCAUCUCCAAUUAAGGCAUCCCAUAUUUUUGCAGUAAAAUCAGCAGAUCCCGAAGCCGCACGCAAAGCCUUGGUAUCAAGGCAGCAACUCCACACAGCACCCUUGUGCCCCUCGAACGUCCCGAUCCAGUCCCCCGUCUCCCCAUUCCUCAGCAUCGGACUCGAAU